AAGACUAUAGACCUGCGGAGUACCUGCGGAGGGAUCAUUAUAGAGUGGUAAACCCCCCGUAAAAGGGGGGGACCUCCUGUCCUUUGUAGGCUCUUUUUUAAAAGGGCUUUUUUUAAUUUUCUGCUUCGGUGGGGUUAUCCCACCGGAACAACCUCAAAACUCUUAUCAAAAAAUCGUUCUGUCUGAGAACCUUUUAUAAUAAAAAAAAACUUUUAACAACGGAUCUCUAGAUCGGAAGAG
rnacentral:misc_RNA from 1 species